GUCUACGGCCAUACCACCUAAAAUGCCCAAUCUUGCCUGAUCUAGAAGCUAAACUGGGUGGGACCUGGUUAGUACCUGGAUGGGAAAAGAAUGAGCUCCAGUACCAUCCAGGAUAAUAUAAGGGGUGUUAGUUC
rnacentral:rRNA from 1 species